rnacentral:rRNA from 1 species
CCUACGGGAGGCAGCAGUAGGGAAUAUUGCUCAAUGGGGGAAACCCUGAAGCAGCAACGCCGCGUGGAGGAAGAAGGUUUUAGGAUUGUAAACCCCCUUUGGUAGAGAAGAUUAUGACGGUAUCUAACGUAUUAGCAGCGGCUAACUCCGGGCCAGCAGCCGUGGCAAUAAGGAGGGUGCAAGCGUUACUCGGAGUCAACGGGCGUAAAGAGUGUGUAGGCGGGGUAAUAAGUCCGAUGGGAAAUCCUGUAGAGUAAAUACAGAUCUGGAUUUGAAACUGUUACUCUGGAGUGUGCGAGAGGUAGGUGGAAUGCUUGGUGUAGGGGUAAAAUCCAUAGAGAUCAAGAAGAAUACUCAUUGCGAAGGCGACCUGCUGGAACAUUACUGACGCUGAUGCACGAAAGCGUGGGUAGCAAACAGGAUUAGAUACCCUUGUAGUC